rnacentral:rRNA from 1 species
UACGGGAGGCAGCAGUGGGGAAUAUUGCACAAUGGGCGCAAGCCUGAUGCAGCCAUGCCGCGUGUAUGAAGAAGGCCUUCGGGUUGUAAAGUACUUUCAGUCGUGAGGAAGGUGUUAAGGUUAAUAACCUUAGCAAUUGACGUUAGCGACAGAAGAAGCACCGGCUAACUCCGUGCCAGCAGCCGCGGUAAUACGGAGGGUGCGAGCGUUAAUCGGAAUUACUGGGCGUAAAGGGCACGCAGGCGGUUAAUUAAGUUGGAUGUGAAUCCCCGGGCUUAACCUGGGAAUGGCAUUCAAGACUGGUUAGCUAGAGUCUUGUAGAGGGGGUAGAAUUCCAUGUGUAGCGGUGAAAUGCGUAGAGAUGUGGAGGAAUACCGGUGGCGAAGGCGGCCCCUGGGACAAAGACUGACGCUCAUGUGCGAAAGCGUGGGGAGCGAAACAGGAUUAGAUAC